rnacentral:rRNA from 1 species
UACGUAGGGUGCGAGCGUUAAUCGGAAUUACUGGGCGUAAAGCGUGCGCAGGCGGUUUUGUAAGUCAGAUGUGAAAUCCCCGGGCUCAACCUGGGAACUGCAUUCGAAACUGCCUGGCUAGAGUUUGAGAGAGGGAAGUGGAAUUCCACAUGUAGCGGUGAAAUGCGUAGAUAUGUGGAGGAACAUCAGUGGCGAAGGCGGCUUCCUGGCUUAAAACUGACACUGUGGCGCGAAAGCGUGGGUAGCAAACAGG